UGCUUUCCCAGGAGAGAGGCUGGCUUGAGCUUUGCCCUGGAGUGACGUUCCUUGUCACUGAUUAACCAGCUCCCUAGGAAGUUAGCUCUGCCACCCUUCUGCUCUGCCUGGAGAAAGCCAUCCCAUCAAGCUUUGGUGAGUCGAAAAAAUGUCCACUCGCUACCACCAAGCUGCUAGUGAUAGCUACCUGGAACUUCUGAAAGAAGCUACCACACGAGACCUGAAUCUUUCUGAUGAAGAUGGCAUGACACCCACUCUCCUGGCAGCCUACCACGGCAACCUGCAAGCCCUGGAAAUAAUCUGCAGCAGAGGAGGGGACCCCGACAGAUGUGACAUCUGGGGGAACACUCCUCUCCAUUACGCUGCCUCCAAUGGCCAUGCCCACUGUGUCUCAUUCCUGAUCAUUUUCGGUGCCAACAUCUUUGCCCUGGAUAAUAACUUACAGUCUCCACUGGAUGCUGCUGCCAGCAGGGAGCAGGGCGAAUGUGUUGCCCUCCUGGAUAAGGCUGCCACCACCCAGAAUGCUGUAAAUCCCAAAAAGGUCAUCAGGCUGAAGGAUCAAGCUCAGAAGAAUGCCAGGAGGCAAAUCAAAGAAUGUGAAAAGCUCCAGGAGAAACAUCAAAAUAAGAUGGCCCAUGCCUACAGCAAGGAGGAAUCUGGGACUUUUUCUUCUUUCAAGAGCUCGUCCUCCAGGUCCUCCUUCUCACGUGCUCCUGCUUCCAGUACAUUUGGAUCACUCUCUAAGGGCAUUAAAGACACCUUCAAGUUGAAGUUCAAGAAAAACAAAGAUACAGCAGAGGAGAUGGGGAAGGAAAGCAGAAGUGGGCAGAGGAAUGUGAUGGAAGUGUUCAGAGAGGAGGAAGAAGACUCGUUAGCGGGGAACUUCACAAAGAAGCUCACAUUCUCAGCAGACGAGGACCAAGAUACACAGCAUGAAUCCGUUCUCAACCGUCCAGGUCUUGGAAAUAUUGUUUUUAUGAGAAACCGAAUGUUGAGCUCCGAAGACCUCUCAAACAGCAAGAGCGGGUCAGGAUUUCAAAUGCCCAGGGAAUUUCUCCAAAGACAAGGAACAGCAGAGGCUGAUGAAGCUGAGGCUGAAGAAGGGGAGGAAAAUGGCCUUGUAGGUGAUCUGCCUUGGGAUGAGGAUGAAGUUGAGUGGGAGGAAGAGGAGGCUGAUGCAGCUCCCCUGGAAGUGUUCUUGCAGUCCCUGCACCUGGGAGAAUUCCUUCCCCUUCUGGUGAGAGAGCAGAUUGAUCUGGAAGCUCUGUUGCUUUGCUCUGAUGAGGACCUUCAGAACAUACACAUGCAGCUGGGUCCCAGGAAGAAAGUCCUCGACGCCAUAAACAGAAGGAAGCAGGUGUUGCGGCAGCCUGGGCAGCUGGUGGACACCAGCCUCUGAAGGGCUGUGCUGCGUCACCAGGAUGAGCCUGCAUCCCCAAGAGAUGCUGUGGCGAGGGGAGGCCCCGCAGGCCUCACCCCUUACCUGCCCAGUUCUGCACCACUGGGAGCCCAUUCUAGGGUUUUGGAGAAGCCCAUCUGGGAAGGAGGCCCAGACUACUCUGGGAAAUACGUAGACCUAUCUGAAUAAACUAUCAGUGAGAAACUCCAGGGUACUGUGGAAUAAGACUAUGGCAUUUCUUUUCAAUUUUCAUCUUUAUAUUUUUGAAUAAAGAAAAGGUUAAAUGGAUGACAGAAAAGGGAAAGAAAUUUUCUUUUUUGUCUGGGCAUAGAAUGAUAAUUUCUCAUCACACUAGCCUAGUUUUUAAUCCACACAGCCCGGGGAUUCUAAGUCUGGUUCUGUCCUUAGCUCUAUAACUUAGCUUGUCAUUGGACAUCGAAGUCCUUCAUUGGCCUGAGGCUCGAUGACCAACUUAAAUGCAUCUAACCCUUAAACAGAUGCCUACAUGUUUAAAAGAGGGUGAAGAAAGAAAGAAGAGUGUACCUUUGGUAGAUUGAAUCGUGUCCCUCUUAAAAUUCAUACGUUGGGCCCUUACCACCUGAACUGUUUUUGAAGAUAGGUGACUAAAGCUUACCUGGUGUCCUAAUGUUGGCAUCCUACUCCUCUAUGAUGUUGUCCUUAUAAGAAAAGAAAAAUAUACAAAAGAUGUGAUCACACACAGAGAAAAGAUUGUAUAAGGACACAGCAAGUGGGUUCUGUCUACAAGCCAAGGAAAGAUCUCAGGAGAAAUCAAAUGUGCCAACAUCUUGAUUUUGGGCUUUCAACUGCCAGAGUUCGAUGUAAAAGUCAUCAAUCAAGGCAAGGUGACAGGAACAUUUCACUGAAGAGAACAUGCAGGUGAGUAAAUGCAUAUGGUGCUUCUAUUUCAGGCCAGCAUGUAAGUACCAGUCAGUUAUGUGCUCAUAAUCCUGAGUCACAGGUAAAUCCAAAGCCCAAGUCUUAUCUGACAUCUCCUCAAACGUUCCACACACACACAUCAAACUCAGGGUGCCCAGAAUUGAACACAUUUUCUUCCCAAAUCAAGUUCUUAACAUGAAUAGUUUUUUCCCUUACACACCUGGCAAGGUCAAAAGACAUUUUUGAUUGUGGUGAGUUGGGCAGGAGAGCUUCUGAAGUCAGGUGAAUAGAAACGAUGGAUGUUCGGUGUUGUACAGUGUAUAAGGCAGCCCUCUGUGAUGGUGAAUCCUCCAGACCGAAUGUUGAUAGUCCUGAGGUUGAGCACCACCUAUCCAGGUACCGGGGAUCAAACUUGGGACCUUGUGCUUUCGAGGCAGGCGGCAGAAUCGCUGAGCUAAAUCCCCAGCCCUAAACUCUUCAUUUUUGAUGAAUGCCAAGCUCAACCCAAAACGUCUCCUUUUUCUUGCCUUCAUCACCCAACUGGUCACUUAAGUCCCUUCAACUCUUUAAUAUGUCAUAAACCUAAAUUCUCUUCUAUGUCUGCAAGACCCUCAUUUAUUUUGUGCCCCCCUCUUUGCUCACCUGUGUUCAGAGGAUCCUGUCUAUCUCUAAUUUGUUCUCUGCAGUGCUUGUUGAGUGAUCUUUCUAAUAGGCAAACCCUCUCAUGCCACUUUCGCCUCCCCAUUGAUUUUCAGGCCUUCAUCAUCCCAUAUAAAAUUCUUGUAAGAGAACUAUUCUCUCCUCUAAGCUGUUGGUUUUGUUUCUAACCAUUCCUCUUUGUCCCCUAAUCAUAACCACAUCAGUUUUUUUAUAGCUUCCAGAAUAUAUCAUGCCCUUCUUUUGCCUGUGUCUUUGUUCAUGACCAUCCCUCUGCUUGGAAAACUUUCUGCAUGCAGCC